UACGUAGGGUGCAAGCGUUAAUCGGAAUUACUGGGCGUAAAGCGUGCGCAGGCGGUUAUGCAAGACAGAUGUGAAAUCCCCGGGCUCAACCUGGGAACUGCGUCAGUGACUGCAUAGCUAGAGUGCGGCAGAGGGGGAUGGAAUUCCGCGUGUAGCAGUGAAAUGCGUAGAGGUGUGGAGGAAUACCGAUGGCGAAGGCAGCCCCCUGGGAUAACACUGACGCUCAUGUACGAAAGCGUGGGUAGCAAACAGG
rnacentral:rRNA from 1 species